GCAGUGGGGAAAUGAUUUUUCUUAUUUAUCAGGGGUCUUAUGACCAGCAAAAUGCAACAGAAGGUCGCUACUCAUUGAAUUUCCAGAAGGCAAGAAAAUCCGCCAACCUUGUCAUCUCCGCUUCACAACUGGGGGACUCAGCAAUGUACUUCUGUGCAAUGAGAGAGGACUGGAGGCUUCAAAACUAUCUUUGGAGCAGGAACAAGACUAUUUGUUAAAGCAAAUAUCCAGAACCCUGACCCUGCCGUGUACCAGCUGAGAGAC
rnacentral:lncRNA from 1 species